AGUGAAAUUGCUGGAUCAUAUGGUAGGUGUACAUUUAGCUUUUUGAGGAGCCAUCAAAAUGUUUUUCAGAGUGGCUUUACCAUUUUACAAUCCCACCAGCAAU
rnacentral:pre_miRNA from 1 species